rnacentral:rRNA from 1 species
UACGUAGGGUCCGAGCGUUGUCCGGAAUUAUUGGGCGUAAAGAGCUUGUAGGCGGUUUGUCGCGUCUGCUGUGAAAUCCCGAGGCUCAACCUCGGGUCUGCAGUGGGUACGGGCAGACUGGAGUGCGGUAGGGGAGAAUGGAAUUCCUGGUGUAGCGGUGGAAUGCGCAGAUAUCAGGAGGAACACCGAUGGCGAAGGCAGUUCUCUGGGCCGUAACUGACGCUGAGGAGCGAAAGCGUGGGGAGCGAACAGG